rnacentral:rRNA from 1 species
UACGUAGGCAGCGAGCGUUGUUCGGAGUUACUGGGCGUAAAGGGUGUGUAGGCGGUUGCUUAAGUUUGGUGGGAAAUCUCCCGGCUCAACCGGGAGGGUGCGCCGAAUACUGAGUGACUAGAGUGCGGGAGAGGAAAGUGGAAUUCCUGGUGUAGCGGUGAAAUGCGUAGAUAUCAGGAGGAACACCGGUGGUGUAGACGGCUUUCUGGACCGUAACUGACGCUGAGACACGAAAGCGUGGGUAGCAAACAGG